GCUUGCUGUAAUUUCAAGGCUCUUUCGGCUGAAGCAAGCAUUGAUGCUACAAGAACGCUCCACGAUACCAUCGAAAUCCAUCUCAGAACCCUCCGUUUCGCUCCGAUUUCCGCCAUUCCUCUCUCCCUUGUAAAACGACCUGAAAAAGGCAAUCGAAAUGCGCCGGUGAAGGGAAUUUAGUUUCGAAGAGAUCCAAGCGAGACAGGAGUCCUGUUUGGUUGCCGAGAAACCCGACGAAAAUAGGAGAGAGAGAGAGAGAGAGAGAGAGCUGAAGAUCCUUGUGUCACUGCGAGGAGAGUGACGUGCGGCGACGAUCCGAGAAAGUUUCUGAGACAAGAGGCCUUCCCAUUUUACUGUAUUUCUUUCUUUCCUUUUUCAAGAAAGGCGCAAAACGUGCGGUAAUACAUUGAUUGUGAUUUGUGAACAAAACAACUUGCGGGGCUCACUUCGGAUCCUUCACAAAUGAUGUCAAUCGUCUCACUCAUGCACUAUCAUUUGUGCGGGAUUCAAAAAUAGACCGUACACGCCAAUCCGUGCAUUACACUCACAACAAAUUUUAAAUUAAUUUUAUUUGUCUAAGAAAUGAAUCACUUCAAUAAUAUAAAAAAAAUGGCCGGUAGGAAAAAAAUAAUAGAAAAAUGUGAGCACAACAAUAAAAGAUAUGACCUUUAAAACGUGACCCUCACCACAACAAAAUUACAAAAAUAUCAUUGUUGGAAUAUGACCAUUGUAAUAUAGCCAUUGAAUUAUGAGUGUUACAAAAAUAUGACCGUUAAAAAAGUAUAGUAUUUGAAAAAUAGUAUGAAAAUAUAUAAAGAAAAGGGAUAAACAAUUAUUUAAGUAAAAAAGAUAAAAAAAAAUUAAAUGGAAAUUAUUUGUAGAGAAUAGAAUUAAAGUAGAAAGUCUAGUGCAAUAUGAGUUCAAAAAUAACUUGGCUAAAGUAGAAAAGUGCUCUUUUUAAGUACUUCUGUUGAGUGGAUGGGUGCAUAUACUCGAGAGGUGUAUGUAACCGGUUCUUCAAAAUUUUAAAAAGGUCUCUCUCUAGUAUCGUGUGCAAUUACUAAGAGAGUACAAUCACAAAAAAAGAAAAAGCAAAACACAACACUGAAUAAUUUUAUUGCUCAAG